AUACGGAGGGUCCAAGCGUUAUCCGGAAUCAUUGGGUUUAAAGGGUCCGCAGGCGGUCAAUUAAGUCAGAGGUGAAAGCCCAUCGCUCAACGAUGGAACUGCCUUUGAUACUGGUUGACUUGAGUUAUACGGAAGUAGAUAGAAUAAGUAGUGUAGCGGUGAAAUGCAUAGAUAUUACUCAGAAUACCGAUUGCGAAGGCAGUCUACUACGUAUAUACUGACGCUGAGGGACGAAAGCGUGGGGAGCGAACAGGAUUAGAAACCCCAGUAGUCC
rnacentral:rRNA from 1 species